UACGUAGGGCGCAAGCGUUAUCCGGAAUUAUUGGGCGUAAAGAGCUCGUAGGUGGUUCGGUAAGUCGGAUGUGAAAUCUCCAGGCUCAACCUGGAGGGUCAUUCGAUACUGCCGUGACUAGAGGUCGGUAGGGAGUGUGGAAUUCCUGGUGGAGCGGUGAAAUGCGCAGAUAUCAGGAGGAACACCCGUAGCGAAGGCGGCACUCUGGGCCGAUACUGACACUGAGGAGCGAAAGCGUGGGAGCGAACAGG
rnacentral:rRNA from 1 species